rnacentral:lncRNA from 1 species
AACUAGAGGCUCUAAAGAGCCUGUGUCGCUCACCUUGGUCUAUGUGAAUAUUAAACAAAGGACGCAGAUGAAUUCAUGACAAAAUUGUAUUUUGGUGAUGGUGAUGUGUUUGUACAUCUUACUUUACUGAACAUUCUUGCUGCUUACAAUUAUCUCUAUUUAUAAUGAACUUGGCCCAGUAGUUUCAGAGAAGAAGAUUUUUGUAAAAGAUAACUAAGAUUUACGAAAAAUGGUUAAAAAUUGACUAUAAAGGGCAAUAACUCCUAAAGGGGUCAACUGACCAUUUCGGUCAUGUUGACUUAUUUGUAGAUCUUACUAUGCCGACAUUUAUUGCUUUUUACAGUUUAUCUCUAUCUGUAAUAAUAUUCAAGAUAAUAACCAAAAACAGCAAAAUUUCCUUAAAAUUACCAAUUAAGGAGCAGCAACCCAACAACGGGUUGUCCGAUUCAUCUGAAAAUUUCAGGGCAGAUAGAUCUUGACCUGAUAAACAAUUUUACUUCAUGUCAGAUUUGCUCUAAAUGCCAUGGUU